rnacentral:misc_RNA from 1 species
GAUGAAGAACGUAGUGAAAUGCGAUACGUAAUGUGAAUUGCAGAAUUCAGUGAAUCAUCGAGUCUUUGAACGCACAUUGCGCCCCCUGGUAUUCCGGGGGGCAUGCCUGUCCGAGCGUCAUUGCUGCCCUCAAGCACGGCUUGUGUGUUGGGCCUCCGUCCUCCUCCCGGGGGACGGGCCCGAAAGGCAGCGGCGGCACCGCGUCCGGUCCUCGAGCGUAUGGGGCUUCGCCACCCGCUCUUGUAGGCCCGGCCGGCGCUUGCCGACACAUCAAUCUUUUUUCCAGGUUGACCUCGGAUCAGGUAGGGAUACCCGCUGAACUUAAGCAUAUCAAUAAGCAGGA